AUACGGAGGGUGCAAGCGUUACUCGGAAUCACUGGGCGUAAAGCGCGCGCAGGCGGGCUGAUAAGUUGGAUGUGAAAGCCUACGGCUCAACCGUAGAACUGCAUCCAAAACUGUCAGUCUAGAGUGUGGGAGAGGAAGAUGGAAUUAGUUGUGUAGGGGUAAAAUCCGUAGAGAUAACUAGGAAUACCAAACGCGAAGGCAAUCUUCUGGAACACUACUGACGCUGAGGCGCGAAGGCGUGGGGAGCAAACAGGAUUAGAAACCCCGGUAGUCC
rnacentral:rRNA from 1 species